rnacentral:misc_RNA from 1 species
GAUGAAGAACGUAGCGAAAUGCGAUAAGUAAUGUGAAUUGCAGAAUUCAGUGAAUCAUCGAAUCUUUGAACGCACAUGGCGCCCGCCAGUAUUCUGUCGGGCAUGCCUGUUCGAGCGUCAUUUCAACCAUCAAGCCCCCGGCUUGUGUUGGGGACCUGCGGCUGCCGCAGGCCCUGAAAAGCAGUGGCGGGCUCGCUGUCACACCGAGCGUAGUAGCAUACAUCUCGCUCUGGGCGUGCUGCGGGUUCCGGCCGUUAAACCACCUUCAUAACCCAAGGUUGACCUCGGAUCAGGUAGGAAGACCCGCUGAACUUAAGCAUAUCAAUAAGCGGAGGA